rnacentral:rRNA from 1 species
UACGUAGGGGGCAAGCGUUUGUCCGGAUUUAUUGGGCGUAAAGAGCGUGUAGGCGGCUUUACAGGUCCGUUGUGAAAACUCGAGGCUCAACCUCGAGACGCCGGUGGAAACCGUAAGGCUAGAGUCCGGAAGAGGAGAGUGGAAUUCCUGGUGUAGCGGUGAAAUGCGCAGAUAUCAGGAGGAACACCCGUGGCGAAAGCGGCUCUCUGGGACGGUACU